AAGAAAAUAAGACUAAGAAUAGCUGCUAACUAUUCCUUAAAGCGGUUAAACUCCGUUUUUUUCUUA
rnacentral:tRNA from 1 species